rnacentral:rRNA from 1 species
AACGAACGCUGGCGGCAUGCCUAACACAUGCAAGUCGAACGAAGGCUUCGGCCUUAGUGGCGCACGGGUGCGUAACGCGUGGGAAUCUGCCCUUUGGUUCGGAAUAACAGCUGGAAACGGCUGCUAAUACCGGAUGAUGACGAAAGUCCAAAGAUUUAUCGCCAGAGGAUGAGCCCGCGUUGGAUUAGGUAGUUGGUGGGGUAAAGGCAUACCAAGCCGACGAUCCAUAGCUGGUCUGAUAGGAUGAUCAGCCACACUGGGACUGAGACACAGCCCAGACUCCUACGCGACGCAGCAGUGGGGAAUAUUAGACAAUGAACGCAAGCCUGAUACAGCAAUGCCGCGUGAGUGAUGAAGGCCCUAGGGUUGUAAAGCUCUUUUACCCGGGAAGAUAAUGACUGUACCGGGAGAAUAAGCCCCGGCUAACUCCGUG